UUCCUAAAAACACCUCUUCGGCCCAAUAAACACUGCUUUCACAAUUUAAAACUCAGUAAGUCACGCCUCUUCCUCUUAUAUAUUGGACUCUCUCGCUUUUCCGGUUGAAUUUCACGCCUAACAAGUACUUCCUGAGGUUGGACGCUCUCACUUUACCGGUUGUUGAUGUUGCUUUUUUAUUUUGCAUUGAUUGACAGGUUGGUACUACUUACAAUUCGCUUAGCCAGACUUAUCUUCAACAAUGAUAUUUUGCCUAUUAAAUGAUGUAUGAAGUGCAAUUGGUUUGUUCUUAUAGAAAAUACGCUAUGUCAAUUGACUAAUGAAAAAUAUCAUUCUUGUAAUGGUUUGUAGGACCAAUAUUAUCGAAUACCUAAGAGAAGGCUUCCUAAUUACUUUUCAGGGUUAUUAUUUUGGGAUUUUGGCUUUUUGCGGUACGAUCAAACUUGGAUGAAUACUUGCUGUGUAUUUAUUAACAUUACUCAUACUGAGCCAUGUUUUUUUUUUUUUUAUUCAUUAAGAAGAGAUAUUGAGCCAUAUUCUCCUCCAAAAAGUUAUUUGACAAAUCAGAUUUUUUUGAAUGCCGUAUAUUUUUUAGGAGUGAAUUUAUCAUUUUCUUCCUCUGAUCUUUGUCUUGAAUGAGUUCAAGAAUAUUUUUUUUUGCUAAUUAACACAAAUUUUGAUUGCCCCAAAUCUUGCAUUAGUAGUAUUUUAGUGUUUGAAGUUUGAAACAAUAGCAAUAUCUUUAUUACUUGGUUAAUUACUAAGUUGUUACUUUAUGAAAACUUGGAUGUGAAUUGAUUUUCUAUCUUUCAAAGAAAAUGGGUUAGCCUGCAAGUUGCAUUAUCUGUUCAAGUAAUAUAUUACUUUGUGAAUGACUAUGUGGUUAAUUAUUUUUUCUGAAAAAUCAUGUGAACUCAGUGUAGAAUCCAUCUAUUAAGAGAACCUUUGCAUAUUAUCUCGAAUAUUUGAGUACCUGCUGAAUCUAAUAUGACACUGUUUUUUCACCUUUCUGUAGGCACUUUAUUUGAUUUUAGGAAGAAAAUUUUGACGGAUAUGGAUUCUUACAUGUGAAGUUUUUCCUAAUGAUAUUUAAAUCGGCUUUGUACAGUUAGAUAAAGCAUGUGAUAAGCCAAAAUACAAAAUCUCCUGAAAUCUCCUGCCAAUCUCUAUAUGUAUAUAUAACUGGAGGACAUGAGCCCGGUGACGUGGCGCAACCCAAAAACAGGAAUUGUAUUUAUCUAUUUUUACAAAUUUUUGAAAUUUCCUCUGCUUUCCAGCGUAAAAAUAAAACAUAAAAAAACUGGAAAAACCAAACGACGCUUUUAAUAGACUAAUCGUUUUACAAUUGUUCCUACUCUUCUCUCUCUCUCUCUCUCUCUCCCUGUUCUUCCUGCAUUCCCCGUUCCAUUUACCCCGAGUAGACUUACUUGCGUAUUCCUUUCUUCCCUUCCUCUCUCUGUAUUCUUCCUUCAUUCUUAAGUCCAUUUUCCCUCCUACCUUUACGUGCAAUUUGCAGGUUUCAAUUACUCUCCUCUCUGCAUUCUUCCUCCAAUAAAUCUACUUAAAAUACUACAAUUCGGCACAGGUAUGCAAAUUUCCGUUUUUCAAUCACUUUAGGUAUGCAGCUUUUUGUUUUUCGACCAGUUUAUUUUACUUUUGUUGCAUCUCGGCCACUUAACUAUUCCCUUGGAGAUUUUCUUACACUUCUUUGUUUUACUAAAACAUGGCUCUUUAACUCCCAUAUCACAGAUAAAGUAGUAUUUUUUGGUAAGAAAAUUGACUCUCUAUACCACUUUAACAUUUCUCUGGAAUUCUCUUACUCUGAGUGAUAAUAUCUUAAGAAUUUACACUGUUGGAAAACAUGUUCUUUCUAAUAGGUCUGAACUUUUUCGAGAAUUAUCAUUUUCACUGUUGGAGAAGCUGUUCUUCCCAAUAGGUCUCAAGUUAUGCGAGAAUUCUCAUGGGAGGCGUAGAAAAUAACUCCGGCACAGGAUUACUUCGAUGGAUAAAAAAAUUGUACAAUAUCAUGCACAUCAAUUUUCUCAAUGGUGACCCAUAUCGAAAUGAAUAACACUGGAACUUCCAACCGUUAGCGCAAAGAACAGGAUAAUUGUGACACAACAUCACCAUGGAUAACUAAGGGAUUGCGGAAAACAAGUUUACUUGGGUAACCAAAUGUCUUUGUUCAUGAAUUGUUUCUAAGUAACUAUGAAUUGUUUUAAGUGAACAUUUUAAUGAGAAUUUGAAUCUUACAGGGGGUUUGACGUUGCGCAUGCUGCUGCUAGGUAUGACAUAGUAGUUAGAAUGAGUUUUAUUGUAGUAAAGAUAUAAUGACACUAUUUAAAUGGAGAAAUCGGACGGUUAUGGUGUUAAAAUUUUCUAUUAAUAUCAGGGCACUUGAUCGUCUUUGCGAUUAAAUUUAGAGGCCUGGAUGCAGAUAUCAAUAUCAAUUCAGUGAUUCUCAUAAUGAUCUAAAGAAUCGCGGGUAGAUAGCUAAUUCUUGAAUUACCACCUAAAUUAGAAAUCUUUUAAUCCCAAUUCGGAAGCUGAUCUUGGCUUACUGUUAUCGUCUUGUGACUUGGUAUCUAGAUGUCUAAUUUCUCAAAGGAAGAUUUUGUGCACAUACUUCGACAUCAAAGCACUGGGUUCUCUAGAGGAAGCUCGAAAUAUUGGGGAGUCAUGUUGCACAAAUGUGGACAAUGAGAAGCUUGGAUAGGGCAACUUCUCAUAAAGAAGUGACUUAUCAUUUAUCUCACCAUAGCUUAGGAAUGUCAUAAUAUCAGUGAUACAACUGUUAAAAAGCUUUCUUGGUAUAUUAUCAUGUCAUUAUACAGAUUUUAUAAUCUAGAAGGAACAGAGUGAAUACGAGUAUCAUUCCCACAUGUAAGAUGUACUUUUUGUCAAAUUUAGUUGAACCAUUUUGAAUUAU